CAGCCGCCGCGGUAAUACGAAGGGGGCUAGCGUUGCUCGGAAUUACUGGGCGUAAAGGGAGCGUAGGCGGACUGUUUAGUCAGAGGUGAAAGCCCAGGGCUCAACCUUGGAAUUGCCUUUGAUACUGGCAGUCUUGAGUACGGAAGAGGUAUGUGGAACUCCGAGUGUAGAGGUGAAAUUCGUAGAUAUUCGGAAGAACACCAGUGGCGAAGGCGACAUACUGGUCCGUUACUGACGCUGAGGCUCGAAAGCGUGGGGAGCAAACAGGAUUAGAUACCCGCGUAGUCCCUGUCUCUUAUAC
rnacentral:rRNA from 1 species